AAGAGAAAGAAAGAAAGAAAGAAAGAAAGAAAGAAAGAAAGAAAGAAAGAUGCCAUCGAAUCUUCUCAUUAAAAUCCACAGCAUCCUAAAGAUAGAGGUACUUUUUAUUUUUUUAAAGACUAUCCUUGAUUGCAAUAUUGGUUUAUGGUAAUUGCAUGGAGAAUACCAGUUUGGGGAAGAAUUAAGUUUGCGGCUUAAAGAACUCAGACCCUCACCCAACAGAACAAAAUUAUACAAUAUUAAAAAGUAUAGAAGCUCCCUGUACAGAAGGAACACUAGAAAACUCAUGAAUUUAAUGACACCAACAGUGCGGAUCCAAGAAAAAGGUUGCCAGACACAUUUGUUGUCUCCAUUGUUGAUAAGGAUGGUUUUUCAUCUCAGCACAAGGUAAGCAUUGUUUCCACACCAAGGUUUGAAGCCUAGACUUUCAGCCCAAAUCGAUGGUGGCCACUGGUCCUUGGAACUUUGAAUUCUGCCCAUGCUGCAGAAUGGUUGACCAUUCUCCCGGAAAAUCGCCUCUACUGGGGCUGAGCUGCUGCCGCCACCAGCUUUAAGACUCCACAGUGCUGACCUCCAUCCUUCAGCACUUCAGGACUCAAAACCUCAAGGCAGGCCAGUGCCCAUCACUCGAAUACUCAGCUGCUGGGGAGUGUGGUCACACACUGGCAACCCCUCAUUAAUUUGCAACCUGGGUGACUAGAGAAAUUAAGGGUCACUAUUCAGACCAACUUACUUCAGGGCAGAGGUACGUUUUUUUUUCUUUUUUUGUAGAAAGGGGAACCAGAGUGCAAAGUGUGCUGAAUGAGAACUCUUUGAGACUCAGCCAUGAAUCCAUAUGUAAACGUCAGUUUGCUGUUGCACGCACAUCCCACUUCCCUUUGUGCCUGCACGCAAAGGCAGAGAAUAGGCUAUCUAAAAUUUGUAUUUUUCUAAGAAAAACAAAAAUACCUCUGUGUUCAUGCUGUGUCUAAACAAGCAGACUAAAUUGAGACAUUUAAACUUGAGACAAUUUAGGCUAAAGAUACAUUUGCUUGUAACAUCAAUAUAAUUGACUCAAAAGGUGUUUUGGUUUUUUUUUGACUUCCCUAAAUACUGAUCUCAAUUCCACUUCUGUGUGGACAGAAGCUACAAAUAUAUAGUAAAAAUAAAAAGGCACUUGCAAAUUUGGGACUUUAGUUCAUGGGCAGACCUAUUGUAACAUCAAUUUUUUUUUAUUAUUGUCUUCAAUCAUUAAUUCAGUUAAUAUUUAUCAAAUAUUAUCUACCACAUUCUUAGCUCUGUGCUGUGCAGUGGAGCUCAUGGUCUAGUGUAGAGACAGACAUGUAAACAAGCAAUUAAUAAAAUAUGGUGUGGUAUAAUGGAAAUAAGUCCUACAGGAAUGAUAAAUUCUUCCUGUGUGCUCUGGGAAGGCGACAAGUGGGAGAUGACAUUUCAGCUGUGUCUUAAAGAUGAAUAGUUGUCCACCGUCAGAGGGUGGGAAAUACAUCAUAGGUAAGGGGAACAGUGAGUGCAAAGAUAGAAGUCCAUGGAAAAGGAUAGUGUAGUGGCCUUAUUACAUAGAGUAUGUGAUAAAUAGAAGAUGAUGUUGAACUAACUAAUUGUAAAUGCCUUUUUUAAUUCACUCUAGGGAAAUUAAAUUCUAUUUAUGGGCAUCAGGAAGUCAUAGUUUUAAGCAGAAAAUAAUAUAAUUAUAUUUAUUCUACUAGAAAGAAUUCUGCAUAAAGAAUGGGUUGGCAGUGGUUGAGUCUAUAGGUAAGAGUGAAUUACAUGGUCGUUAUUUUAGUCAAGGCAUAAGGAAAUGAAUGAGGGGAUUUACUUGGGAAGUGGAAGGGAAGAUGAAAAAGGUAUAAUCGAGAGAUAUUUAGGAGGUAGAAAUGAAGGACUUGAUGACUAAUACAACUGAUAACAACUAAUGUGGGAGAGGAAGGUCAAGUUGAACAGUUGUCUCAAUGGUGGUGCUCUUAUGGAGAAAGGGUGUUAACAGUUCCUCCUCUUCAAAUAUUUCAGGAACUGUAAUGAGUCAUUUCCAUAUGUUAGUUUAUUCAAAUCUCCCAGUAACAAUGGGACAUAAACAAUAGGGAGUUUUAUCAUUAUUUUUUAUGGAACUCAGGAAGGGUGAGACAGUUGUCUAGUAUCACAACUGGAACACAGUCGCGUCAGGAUUAGAAUCGGAGUCAUAAAAGCCAGUGUAUUCUCCACACAUUUCUGUAAGUGUAAUAAUUGUGUAAGUAGCAUUAAUGAAAUUUCCCUGUGAAAACCCUGAAAUUAAUUUUGAAUCAAAGUAAAUCACACAUUUGACUAAUGAGUGUUAUGACAAAUUUGAGCCUUUCAUAUUGAGUGAAAUCAUUUCUUUUUUCUAAAACCGAACUAUUUUAUUUUAUUUUUUUUAAUUCUUAAAAAUUUUUAGAUUUUUUUUUUUGCUGCUAAACAACAACAUACCAGAAAAUAAGUUUAAACUCCUAUUAACUGGUUUGUAGUAAAAAAAAAAUUGACAUCUCUUAGCUAAGUUUUGUUUUGUUUUUGUUUUUGUUUUUGCUGUAAAGCGUUCUGCUAUAUAGAUAAGGCCUAAUGCAUGGGUAGAAUAAUAGGUUUUCAAAUAGCUAAUCACUUGAUUUCAACUCAUUGGAGAUUUGACUUUCAGUAUUUCCAUAUUACUGAUUCAAAAGAACUUAGGAAAAUAUAUUAUCAAAUAAAAAUAUUUCUAUAGUUAGCUGAGCAAAAGUUUCUUUUUUCCUAGCAAGCACAGUGGGCUUUUACUUGUUACAUAAUAGUUUAUUAGAUGGAAAAAAAUAAGGUGUGCUUUUUCAUGCAGUAGCCACUUAAUUUUCCCUGAUCAUUUCUAGUUCUCAGUUAGGUUAUCUCAUUUUAAGUACGGAGGAUGCUGUAUUUUCCAGUAUCUUCUUUUGCUUUUGUGGUGAUUGGGAAGGUAUUCCUUUGCAUGAGCUACUCGCACCUGGCCCGAAAUCUGUGAAAGAGAAUACGAUGAAAAAAAAAUGACAUGGCCUCCAGCACUUUCUUCUUUCUUUCUUUUUUAUUUUAUUUUAUUUUUUAUUUUUCAUAUGAAACAUUUUCCUGCCAGGAUCUUCUAUAUACAGUUGGAGGAUGCUUUUGAUAUGUAGAUCAAGCAAAAUGGUAAAUACAGAGCCCUCUCUUUUCAAACAUUCCCUUAUUCUACAAUGUGCCUGUAGUGUCACUGUCUUUGAUUUCCAUGAGGCUUGCCCUUGGGUUUGUAUUGUAACUUGGUAUCUUUCCAUUGUCCCUUACCACAAAAAAAUUCCUUUUUAAGAAACUGAAUUCAGAAUGUAAUCCAUCAAGCUUUAGCUCCUCUUUCUCUUUCCUUCUGGAAGAUUUAGUGACUAAGUCUUUGCUUUGAUUUUCUUUCUCUGACUUUGAGGGGUCUCACUUUCUCUUCUAAUUGCUACAAUCUGGUAACUCCUUUUGCUUGGAGUAAACAAAAACAGAAACACUUGGUGAGGAGACAAACAGGCUCACAAGCUCACGUGCCUGACUAGCUGAUGGAUGGCAAGGUCUGGCUCUCAGGAAGAGAUCUUUCCAUGGCCCCAUGCAACGUCAGUUUCAGGAUGGGCUCUCUGCCAGGCACAGUGGAGCUCACCUUCUAGUACCAAACUAUCUAGUUGCACUCCAUAAAGAUUAUAUAAAGGACUUAUUCGUAAAUGUGCAUAAUUCUGCUGCCAGAGUAUAGGAGAGUGAGAGAGUAAUUCUGACUAGAGGAAUACAGAUUUCCUGGAAGAGAAGGGAUUUUCCUGGUCUUCCAAAAUGGAUAGGAUUUUGAGAGGAGACGUUUAGUCUUCCACUGGCUCUAAUAUGUAUCUUAGAAAUCCGUAAGAUUUUAGAAGGCUGUUGAAGCAACACUUGAGAGCCCAAUUCAAGGAUAAGACCUGGUGACAUCACUGAUAUCGGAUUCAUACAGAGAAGGAAUAGUUUUGCUUUUAGAGAACUGAAGCCAAGAUGGAUUGUAUUAGAACAGUCCCAGGAGGCAGAGUCUAAGACGGAAUCCCGGAGGAAGAUGGCAGUGAGUCCUCUGUGUCACUGGUGCCACAUUUCUCAGCCUCAGCCGCUCCAGCUGCCUCCGACUUCAAAAGAAACUCUGAAUGAAGAGGGAGGGCACACAAUAGAAGAAGUGGUCUGAUUAUCCCCCUCUGUUUGGAAAUGACACUUGCAACAAAGAGAAUCUCGCCUAUCACCUUUACACUUUUGAUGCUACGAACCAGCUAUUAUGUCUAGAGGACACUCGAGUAGCUCCCAGGAAAGUCCAUGUGACAAGGAACCAAGCUAUCUGCCAACAGCUGAUGAGGAACAGAGGCAAUCCAUGAACAUCCAGUGAGUGAGCCACCUUAGAAGCAUACCCUCAAGUUGCAGUAAAACCUUUUGAUGAUGGCAGCUCCUGCUGACAUCUCCAUCACAACCUCCUAAGAGACCUGGAGCUGGAACCACUCAGGUAAAUAUGAUAGCUGGAGCUGGAGCAGCCAUAUUGGGUCAAGAGACAGAGCCACAGUUGAGGAUGACAGAGUAAUUAGAGACAGCCUGCGUCCCUGAUACUAUACAGCUGCCAUACAUCAACAGUCCUGCCCAUCUAAAUUGUCAGCUCAGAGUUGUCGUGGAGAUCAAAUGAGAUAAUAUAUGUGAAAGUGCUUUGAUGCUGCUAAAGCAUGCUGUAGAUGAAGACUAUUAUCCUCUAAUACAGCUUCAGUCAACAGAUAAGCCCUCUUUUCAUUGCUCACCUAGGACCUAAUCUGCCAUCCAUACUCUGAAAAAAUUCCCUCCAGACUGCAAACUCGGGCCGCAUGAGGACUUGUCGAAUGUGCGUUCAACUGGAGGAUAGACACCUGAGAAAUAUUAUUAUAUUCAGCUUUCACAUUAUCGUUAUCACGCCCAACACAGCUAGCCCUAUUAAAAAAUAUGCAUUACAUGCUCGAUGUCCAAAGAGAUCAUAAUCCAAGUAAGUCAUUUCGUACUACUCGCACACAUACUCUUUGGUGCCCCCAGCCCCACAAAUGACCUUCCUGUUCUGUUUCUGGAUGGGGAAGAAAUCCAGAAAGGAAGUGUGCUCACCGGCUCCCGCAUCAGCAAAUUUCGGAUCUACGUGCACUCAGACAUCAGAGCAGUAUCUGGAUGGCAACAUUAAAUGCCUUGCUGUUUAAAACGUCUCUGUGAACUCAGAUUAUUGAACAUUAUAUCCAAUUUUGAGGACGAUUUUGUUCACAUGAGAUCAGUUUUUCCAAGUUUAGAAAUGCAGCAUUCUUAGUUUAAAUAUUGCACGGUGAUGAUUUUCAAUGAUUAGAAACACAUUCAUACUAUAGCACGUCUGGGCCCAAGAAUCCCUCAUUUAUAGCCCAUUUUUCUCUAGCAACAAUCUAAGUAUUUCUAGGUUGUAUUAUAUUUCUCAUUCUCAUGCGCUCUCGGUCAAUAGACUGUCAUUAUCAGAAUAAAGUUCUUUACAUUUAACUGAA